rnacentral:rRNA from 1 species
UUCUAAACGUAAAUUGGCUUAGCCCUACCAGAGCACUAUGAAUCUUUCAUUUAAAACUCAAAGAACUUGGCGGUGCUUUAGACUUCUCAGGGGAACCUGUUUCAUAAUCGACAGUCCACGCAAAACCUUUCCUUCUUUUGUUUUCAGUAUGUAUACCGUCGUCGUCAGGUAACUUUUAAAAAUAUUAGAAGUUAGCAAUAAAGUUAACCUAAACUUUCACGUCAGAUCAAGGUGCAGCCCAUAAGAAGGUGCGAAUGGGUUACAAUUAAGAAUUAUAAUUACGGAGAAAAAAUGAAAUUUUAGCCCGAAGGAGGACUUGAAAGUAAGAAAUAAAUCAUACAAAUUUUCUGAAUUCAGCUCUGAAGCGUGC